ACGCCUCCACCAACUCCACCGCGAGCCCAUUGUAGCCAGCCGAGCUCACGAAGAGCGUGUAAAAUAUCACGACGCCAUUUAAUCCAUGUCCAUAUACGUGCAUGCAAAGUCGCAUGUCAAGCUUGUUCUGGAAGUCUGCGAUGGCACUAACAGCCUCGUGCUGUACGAAGAGCCGCGCAGUGCUCUCAUGGUGCCGCUCACGCCGCGCCUGAACCACCAUUAAGCCUGGAGGAGCUCAACCCGUCCGUCAACCUGCUCGAGGACAACGAAGGCCGUACGAGACUGCAGGAAGUUUCCCAUCUACAUCGUCGCGACAUCUCGGAGGGACGGACUGCUAACGCCAAGUGCAACAUCGGCAAGCUCCUCGCAAAUUCCAUAAUCUACCGCUAUAUCUGCAGCAAGGACCUCCUAGAGGACGUGCUCAGCGGAAGGGACAUCCUCACUGCAUUCCAAGAAUCUGACGAGAAAGGAUACAACGAAGUCAAGGUGCCCUCUCUCUUUCUCCGAAAGCCUUUCAUCCGGCACCAUUACGUGUCUGAAUAUACACCUGAAACUUUUUGUCUACAUACGAGGGGCUGAGCAGCUCACGUCCAUGGGCAACCUCGUUCUCUGCCGUGGCAGCUACGACGUCGUCAUGUACUGCACAACCUCUAUGCCAGUAUGUGUGCCCGUGCUUGUUCAGAUCUGAGUUAUCUGUAGUGUACAAAUAGGCAGCAUCAAAUUUAAUUGAUUGUUAGAUUUCGAAUUAUCGUGUGUUGUAAUCUGGUUUGCUAUUUCUUUGUUUUUUAAUUCAGCGAUGGUUGUGUAGAGGAUAUUUUGAAUUCAUUAUUUGUUGAAGAUUUAAAUGGAAGAAAGCAUACAUGAAGAAAGAAUUAUUAGGAUUCACUUAAUCGUAUAAGUAAGUAUAGUGUGCCAUUUUAUAUUGGGUUUGCUAUUUAUCUCAAGUUAACCUGCUUGUUCAGACUCCAGACUUACAUUACAAGUCAUAUACUUAUGGA